rnacentral:tRNA from 1 species
CGGAUUAGAGCUUGAUUAGUUAAGCAUUUUAUUUACAUUAAAAAGUGAUCGUGCGAUUCGAUAUAAUUUGA